GUACCGCGUACGCGAAACAAGACGUGCGACACGACCAGGCAGAACGGCGUGCAAGCUUGCAAAACGUCCAACAGGCACGCUUUUCCGAUAUGCGCAUAUUUAUACCCCGACGAAACGCGAGGUGCGUUCUUUCUCCGGAAUUUUCCGGCUGGCGAAUAAAACGACAUUCUCAAAAGUGUUAUAAAACGGCCAACUGUACACGACCAAAUAAACGGUAUGCGAUUAAAAUCUUCUGGUUACACAAUUUUAAAAACGUUUCUGUUCUAUAACGGCGGCGGCACACUCCGCGAUGGCAUCAAUACAACUCGUCAAGAUAACAAUAACAACCGCGACCGUGGGAUUUUCAAAUCUUUUAUACUGCUGUUUAGUAUAGCACAUUUGCUUUUUUUUUCGUUUUCGCAUCGAAUAUAAUCACUAGGCUAGCGUUCAGGUUCGCGCGCAUAUAAAACAGUAUACGAUCCUGGAGGCACUUCUCAUGACCGAAUUUUUCACGUUCUAAGUUCACAGAUACAUACACAGGUUCACCAUUUUUAGUCUUACAAAGUACUUGUGUAAUAGUAUUUAAAUAAAAGUAUACAAUACCUGCCAUGUACUCAAAUACGUAUUUUAAAUACCUUCUCAGAGUAUCUGUGUUUAAAAUCAAACACAUUUUUUUACAAAUUUUAU